AUGCCAAGGUUGUGUGUGUGUGGAUGUUGUGGUCCUCUGCGGCCACGCUACAAGCGUCUAGUGGACAACAUUUUCCCAGAGGACCCCAAGGAUGGACUGGUGAAAUCCGAUAUGGAAAAGUUGACUUUUUAUGCAGUGUCCGCACCAGAGAAGCUGGACCGUAUCGGAGCGUACCUGGCCGAACGCCUCAGCAGAGAUGUGGUACGACAUCGCUACGGGUACGUGGUAAUAGCAAUGGAGGCGUUGGAUCAGUUGUUGAUGGCAUGUCAUUCCCAGAGUAUCAAGCCGUUUGUGGAGAGCUUCUUACACAUGGUAGCCAAACUGCUGGAAUCCAGAGAACCCGAUUUACAAGUGCUGGGAACCAACUCCUUUGUGAAGUUUGCAAACAUUGAGGAGGAUACGCCAUCUUACCAUCGCAGAUAUGACUUUUUCGUCUCUCAGUUCAGUGCCAUGUGUCACUCCACACACGAGGACCCCGAAACUCGCAACAGGAUCCGUGUAGCAGGCAUUAAGGGUCUCCAGGGUGUCGUCAGAAAGACUGUGAAUGAUGAACUCCAGGCAAUCAUCUGGGAACCUCAACACAUGGAUAAACUCAUCCCCUCCAUGCUGUUCAACAUGCAAGAUAAUGAGGACUCCGAGAGCAUAUUUAAAUAUGGCAGUUUUCAAAAUGUAAUAACAUACAACCAUCGUCUGUGGGACCCGAAUGAUUUUGCUGUUUCCUGUUUCAGGAUAAUCAUGUACUCAAUACAGGCCCAGCAUUCUCACCAUGUGAUCCAGCAAGUGUUGUCUCACCUUGACACCCACAGUAAGAACACCCCGCGUGUGAGGGCAGGUAUCGUUCAGGUGCUGCUGGAGACGGUUGCCAUAGCAGCCAAGGGCUCCAUCGGUCCCACGGUCCUGGAGGUGUUUAACACCCUGCUAAAGCAUCUGCGUAUGAGUGUGGAUUUUGAGCUGGGCGACGGUUCCCGCAGGAACUCCGCGAGCAGCCUUUCCUCCACCCGCACCAAAGAGAGCGAGGAGCGGAUCGUCCAGAAUGCUAUCAUCCAAACCAUUGGUUUCUUUGGAGGAAAUCUUCCUGAUUAUCAGAGAGCUGAAGUGAUGAUGUUCGUUAUGGGGAAAGUUCCUGUUUACGGCACGCCGUGUCACACGCUGGACACCGUUACGUCAGGGUUUAAGUGUAAAACGAUUUGUGCUGGCCUGCCCAUGGCGUUUCUGGAGCCAUUAUGCUCUAUCUCUUUGAUGGAAGACAGUGAACUACGGCAGCUCGUCUUGGAGAUUUUGCACAACAUCAUUGAUCGCCAUGACAACAGAGCCAAACUCAGAGGGAUCCGGAUUAUUCCUAAUGUAGCCGCUCUGAAGAUCAAGAGAGAGAAAAUCUCCAAACAGGAUGUGGUUUUCAUGAAAAAGCAUGGGCAGCAGCUAUACAGACACAUCUAUCUGGGCUGUAAGGAGGAAGAUAAUGUGCAGAAGAACUUUGAGCUGCUUUUCACAGCUUUGGCAUUGAUCACUAUUGAACUUGCCAAUGAGGAGGUGGUGAUUGAUCUCAUACGCCUGUCCAUCGCCCUGCAGGAUAUGGCCCUGGCCAAUGAGGAGAACAUGCCAAUGUUUAUUCGCUGUGGAAUCAUGGCAUUGAUUGCCGCAUACCUCAACUUCCUCAGUCAGAUGAUUGCAAAUCCCCCUUUCUGCCAACACGUCAGCAAGGUGAUUGAGAUGAGAAAUCUAGAUGCUCCGCACCUUUUGCCUGAACACGUCUUCAGAGAGAAGUGUGUGCUCCCAGACUCUUUAGACCGGGACGACGUUGGUUUGUAUUUUCAGACGGCUGAUCUGGCAGAAGCUCUGUCUGUACCUGGAUAUAACGUAGAGAGACUAGCUGUUCCGUACAUACCGCAGGUUACAGAUGAAGAUCGACUGCCCCGUAGGAAGAGUUUUGUCGACACUAUUUCUCUCCAAGUUGACAUCCUUUCCAACAGCUUGCCUGAUCAGUCUCAGCUUGCAGAGGAGAUCACGUUUGAGACCCUGAAGAAGGCCAUCGAUACCACAGGUCUGGAGGAACAGGAGAGGGAGAGGAGACGGCAGGUGAUGGAGAAGUUCCAGAAGGCUCCGUUUGAAGAGAUUGCCGCCCACUGCGAGUCCAAGGCCAACAUGCUGCACGAUCGCUUGGCUCAGAUAUUUGAACUCACCAUUCGCCCUCCCCCGAGCCCAUCGGGCACCGUGACGGUGACGUCAGGCCACGCCCAAUACCAGUCUGUGCCAGUCUACGAAAUGAAGUUCCCUGACCUCUGCGUGUACUGAACCACGGCCUUUCACCUUAACUCUAUCACACAGACUCAACCUUGACAUGUGACCACUGACCUUUAUCACACUUUAUGUGUGUAAACUCACCUGAGCCACUCAUCUUCAUUAGACAUCUUUCACUAUGAACGUCACUUACAUUCAUGUCCAGCAGAAAGAAGGGGUGCAGACUGGACGGCCACUUCAUGCCUCUAUUCUACACCAGUCAGCACACAGAGCUUUACGACCAGCUGUCCAGUCAUACACCAGCUCUGUAGAAUCAUGUGAAUCGUAUGUGUGUGGUUUUCACUUUGAUUCUUGCACUAAACGGCAGCUCCAAGAAUCAAACUGAGUCUUUUAAACACUUGAUUCUUCAGCUUCUUAAUCUAUUGAUUCAAAGGAGUCAUUUAGAAAAUGACUCACUCUGGAUUUAUUAAGGGAACUUAAUUGCUAGCAUUAGCUUAAGUGCUAGUUUAUGUUCAUUAACUCUCAUUUCUAAACCAUCAUCAGCAGAGAGAUUUGAACAUACGAUAGAUUUCUGCUCGCUUAAAUCUCUCCUAUAUAAAUAAUUAUAGUGUACAGUAUCGCACAGUAUAGUAUAGGCUAUUUUUGACAAAUAUAUAUAUAUAUACUUUUAGAUGAAAUGAUUGCUGAUAGUUGCAGAGUGUUAUUUGUAUUCUGUUUGCAUGGCUUAGCCAAUGUUUCAUUGCAAACGUUUGUGAGUUUAGGCCUUUAUUAAUCUACAAUUAGCCUUUAACUUCAAUGUUGUGGAUGUCAACGGGGCUUUUGUUCACCCAGAGUUCUUAGUGAUCACUAUGCUCUCCAUUUUGCCUUCACUGUAUAGAGAAACCAAAUCAUUUGCUUUUCAUCACCAAAGAGCUACGCACUUCCUUUAUGGCCACACACGGCUGCCAAUCAAAUCUUGAGCCAAUCAGAAACUGAAUUCUCUUUGAGGGCGGGAACACCACAGUGUUCUUGAACUCAAACCUCAGAACAGUUUCUAGAAACCCGGGGGCCGAAAAAUGAUGGAUUAUCAGUGAUAAAAUGAUCUGCAUUCAUCAACCAGCUGUUUUUUUUAUCGAGCCACAAGGACGUUGAAAUGCUUUUCUGCUUUUCAGGUGACUUCAUUCAUCUACCUUGGACAAAAUAAAAAUGUGUGUGACUGUUAGAUGCUGAAAUAC
ensembl:lncRNA protein EFR3 homolog A-like